UCAGGUGGCCGCAGAGAAUAGGCCCAAGCGACUGUUUACCAAAAACAUAGGUUUCUGCUAAGUCGCAAGACGAUGUAUAGGAGCUGACGCCUGCCCGGUGCUGGAAGGUUAAGGGGAUCUGUUAGAGUAAUCGAAGCAGUGAACUUAAGCCCCAGUAAACGGCGGCCGUAACUAUAACGGUCCUAAGGUAGCGAAAUUCCUUGUCGGGUAAGUUCCGACCCGCACGAAAGGCGUAACGAUUUGGGCACUGUCUCAACAACAGACUCGGUGAAAUUGUAAUUCCGGUGAAGAUGCCGGAUACCUGCGACAGGACGGAAAGACCCCAUGGAGCUUUACUGUAGCUUGACAUUGGGUCUUGGUACUACAUGUACAGGAUAGGUGGGAGGCUUUGAAACCAGGACGCCAGUUUUGGCGGAGCCAUCCUUGGGAUACCACCCUUGUAGUACUGGGACUCUAACCAUAGGCCAUGAAUCUGGUCUUGGGACACUGUCAGGUGGGCAGUUUGACUGGGGCGGUCGCCUCCCAAAAGG
rnacentral:rRNA from 1 species